CUGACUUCAGAUAAUCCAGUAUGCUCCACUUAAUGUGACUUAUUUGUACUUCAAGUUCGGUGAGCUGAUGGUCCAGUCGUAGAGUGCGUCAAUUAAACGUCGCCAGCUAUUAGGGCAAGAGGUGGAUUUAAUAAUAAACGCAACGUGGUUCAAUUCCGAGCUGCUUACAAAAAACUGCACAUAAGAGCUAAGAUAACAGAAGUUGGAAUGUUUGUAACAAGAUCGUCAAUUUUACGCCAUCAAAAAAUAUGGUAAAGGCAGCACAAAUCUCGACAACUUUAUAUAAAAACGUGGACGCCACAGACAAUUAGAAGCUAUAAUUUGCUAAUAAAUAUUUGAAAUAAGUAA